CCAGUAAAAAUCAUGUUUUGAGUUUUUUUAUAUGUUUUUGUAGCCGUUUUCUCAUAACAGAAGGCAUAUAUAAAGAAAAAUAAGCUAGAAAUUGUCAUGGUCCUCCUGCGCUCCUCCUCCACCUCCUAAUUGGACCCAGCUGUCGGCACUCAUCACCUCCACUCCAGCCUAUUUAAGAGGAGCCCUCUCCAGCAUUCUUCGCCAGUUCGUUGCCUCACCCGGUCUUUUCCUCCCAUGUGCCGACCUGGGUCCUGCCUCGCCUAAGCAUCUCGUCUUGGACCACGCCGAUCCUCACCACUCCACGCACCGGCUGCCGGACUCACCUGGUUACUCCACCUGGCCGCUCCAGUCCGCAGCAAGUCUUCGUUCCCAAGCAUCCACCUUCGAUCCUGGUUCCGGACACUACGCCAUUCUCCCCACGGACAAUAAAACUUUACUUAAACCUC